rnacentral:rRNA from 1 species
UCUUGCUUAAUAUAAGAGGUCCAGCCUGCCCAGUGAAAAUUUAACGGCCGCGGUACCCUGACCGCGCGAAGGUAGCAUAAUCACUCGUUCUUUAAAUAGGGACUUGUAUCAAUGGCAUCACGAGGGUCGCACUGUCUCCUCCCCCCAAUCAGUGAACCUGAUCUCUCCGUGAAGAAGCGGGGAUGAAAAUAUAAGACGAGAAGACCCCAUGGAGCUUUAAACCCAAAGCAAUCUAAUAAAAUAAACCCCCAUAUAAUUUAAGUAUGCAUAACGGCUUUAGGUUGGGGUGACCGCGGGGCAAAAACAAACCCCCACAACGAAAAGAGAUAAACCUUUAUUUAAGAGCUACUACUCUAAAAAUUAGCACACUAACGAACAAUGACCCGACAAUCGAUCAAUGAACCAAGUUACCCUGGGGAUAACAGCGCAAUCUACUUCAAGAGCCCAUAUCGACAAGUAGGCUUACGACCUCGAUGUUGGAUCAGGGUAUCCCAGUGGUGCAACCGCUACUAAUGGUUCGUUUGUUCAACGAUUAAAACCCCU